rnacentral:rRNA from 1 species
AUUGAACGCUGGCGGCAUGCCUUACACAUGCAAGUCGAACGGCAGCACGGGAGCAAUCCUGGUGGCGAGUGGCGAACGGGUGAGUAAUAUAUCGGAACGUGCCCAGUAGUGGGGGAUAACUGCUCGAAAGAGCAGCUAAUACCGCAUACGACCUGAGGGUGAAAGGGGGGGAUCGCAAGACCUCUCGCUAUUGGAGCGGCCGAUAUCAGAUUAGCUAGUUGGUGGGGUAAAGGCCUACCAAGGCAACGAUCUGUAGUUGGUCUGAGAGGACGACCAGCCACACUGGGACUGAGACACGGCCCAGACUCCUACGGGAGGCAGCAGUGGGGAAUUUUGGACAAUGGGCGCAAGCCUGAUCCAGCAAUGCCGCGUGCAGGAUGAAGGCCUUCGGGUUGUAAACUGCUCUUGUACGGAACGAAACAGCCCUUUCUAAUACAGGGGGCUAAUGACGGUACCGUAAGAAUAAGCACCGGCUAACUACGUGCCAGCCGCCGCGGUAACAC